UUUAUGUUUAUUUAGUGCCAGGCAUGGCAUGUACAUUACUUCUAACCCUCAUAAGAAUCCUAAAAAGUAGGUAUUUAAAAACUACUGAUAAUAGUACCUCAUAAUAGUUAACACUCUUUAAUAAUUACUACAGGGCAGACACUAAACUAAGAACUUGAUGUGUAGAACCUUGUCUACUUCUCACCACAAUCCUAGGAGGCAACUUCUGUUCUUGGCCCCGCCUCCCCAGACGAGAAGACUGAAGCUAGGUAAACAAAGCAGAAGCGUUCAGUGGCUAACGGUCUUGGAGACCGCGAUUUCAGGAUUGCAAACGUGGCUGGCCUUUACUGGAAAUGUGAGUUAUGGGCGAUUUUCUUGAUCUCUCUGUCACUUGGUUUUCUCGACUGCAAAAUGAGGAAAACAAUAGUGCCCACGUCUCAGUGUUUGGGG
rnacentral:lncRNA from 1 species